rnacentral:rRNA from 1 species
AUUGAACGCUGGCGGCAGGCCUAACACAUGCAAGUCGAGCGGAUGAAGGGAGCUUGCUCCUGGAUUCAGCGGCGGACGGGUGAGUAAUGCCUAGGAAUCUGCCUGGUAGUGGGGGAUAACGUCCGGAAACGGGCGCUAAUACCGCAUACGUCCUGAGGGAGAAAGUGGGGGAUCUUCGGACCUCACGCUAUCAGAUGAGCCUAGGUCGGAUUAGCCAGUUGGUGGGGUAAAGGCCUACCAAGCGACGAUCCGUAACUGGUCUGAGAGGAUGAUCAGUCACACUGGAACUGAGACACGGUCCAGACUCCUACGGGAGGCAGCAGUGGGGAAUAUUGGACAAUGGGCGAAAGCCUGAUCCAGCCAUGCCGCGUGUGUGAAGAAGGUCUUCGGAUUGUAAAGCACUUUAAGUUGGGAGGAAGGGCAGUAAGUUAAUACCUUGCUGUUUUGACGUUACCAACAGAAUAAGCACCGGCUAACUUCGUG